CUUUACUGUAGCCUGGUAUUGGGUUCGGGCUUUGACUGCGCAGGAUAGGUGGGAGACUGAGAAGUGUGCCUUGUGGGGCACAUAGAGUCAACGGUGAGAUACCACUCUGUCAGAGCUAGAAUUCUAACCCUUGCCCGUCAGCCGGGAAGGAGACAGUUUCAGGGGGGCAGUUUGACUGGGGCGGUCGCCUCCUAAAAGGUAACGGAGGCGCGCAAAGGUGUUCUCAGGCUGGUUGGAAAUCAGCCGUAGAGUGUAAAGGCAGAAGAACGCUUGACUGUGAGAGUGACAACUCAAGCAGGGUGGAAACACGGCCUUAGUGAUCCGACGGUAUGCGCGUGGAAGUGCCGUCGCUCAACGGAUAAAAGUUA
rnacentral:rRNA from 1 species